AUAAAGCUAAGGAUCUGCAUGAAAAUCAUAAGCACCACACUCCACACACUGAAAAAAAAAAGUUGCAUGUCUUUGCAAGAUAACAAAGCAUGGAUCAAAUUUUCUGGAAAGAUGGGAUGGUCCUAAAAAGCAAAUAUAUGUGCUCCUUCCCUUUCAGUGGGAACCGCCGAACCCUAUCACGUAUGCAUGGAGGUGGCAUGGCCAAUGACCAAUGGGAUUGCAGAAUGCUUAUGGGGACCUAAUCUGCAGAUUGAUCGAAGUGACCAUGAGCAUUAGGUGUGGCCUGGAAUUCUUGUGUCGGUCAGGUCGUGAGGUUGUAAUGACUUGUGCUGCUGUGCAUGAUAAUGUUGAUCAACUUUAGUUGCCUGUCAAGCCUAAAUGAGGUAUCUUUUCGAAGGAAUAGACUCAAAAGUUCCUCA